rnacentral:rRNA from 1 species
AUUGAACGCUGGCGGCAGGCCUAACACAUGCAAGUCGAACGAGUGGCGGACGGGUGAGUAAUUUCUGGGAAACUGCCUGAUGGAGGGGGAUAACUACUGGAAACGGUAGCUAAUACCGCAUACCAUUGGAGGGGCCCAGAUGGGAUUAACUAGGAGGUGGGGUAAAGGCUCACCUAGGCGACGAUCCCUAGCUGGUCUGAGAGGCUGACCAGCCUCCCUGGAACUGAGACCCGGUCCAAACUCCUACGGGAGGCAGCAGUGGGGAAUAUUGCACAAUGGGCGCAAGCCUGAUGCAGCCAUGCCGCGUGUAUGAAGAAGGCCUUCGGGUUUUAAAGUACUUUCAGCGGGGAAGCGUUACCCGCAGAAGAAGCACCGGCUAACUCCGUGCCAGCAGCCGCGGUAAUAC